rnacentral:rRNA from 1 species
UACGUAGGGUGCGAGCGUUAAUCGGAAUUACUGGGCGUAAAGCGUGCGCAGGCGGUUUUGUAAGUCAGAUGUGAAAUCCCCGGGCUUAACCUGGGAACUGCGUUUGAAACUACAAGGCUAGAGUGUGGCAGAGGGGGGUGGAAUUCCACGUGUAGCAGUGAAAUGCGUAGAGAUGUGGAGGAACACCGAUGGCGAAGGCAGCCCCCUGGGUUAACACUGACGCUCAGGCACGAAAGCGUGGGGAUCAAACAGG